rnacentral:lncRNA from 1 species
GUCUGGACCCUUGGCACUUUCACGAUAAAAUACACAGUUGCUUGUGAUACAUCAGUAUCCUCACUCACCCCCAACUCCAGAGGCUGAAACUGACUCUCCUCCUCCCUCUUCCAACUGCUGAUGAAGGGCUUUCAAGGACUGAGAAUGCACAUAUGGAUAGAACAAAUCUAGAAAUU